rnacentral:lncRNA from 1 species
AACCGGUUCGUUUGAGUCGAUCAGACCUAACCAGGUUCACUCCUGACGACCGGUCAUCGCGACUUUUCCGAAGCUCCAAGCUUGUCGACUCCAGCAAAGCCCCAACCUUCUCAACUCCGCCAAAGCCCUAGGCUUCUCGCGUGCGCGUUCCUCAAUUUUGCCACGUUCUCGUCUCCCUUACACUCGAAGAGUCGUCGGGGCUUCGCCAAAGCCCUAACAUUCAGCAUUUUUCUUCGUGCCUGUGAAAGGUAUGUUGUGUCUAAAUAUAUUUCAUUUAAAAGGUUUGAUUACAGAUCCAUUUGGUCAUAGAUCCCAUCUUUUUAGUUGCUGCAAGUUAAAACUAUUAUAUGAAUGUUGAUUGUAUUGAUAUUAUUUCCAAGCCUCGCUUCCCAGUAGAACAAAGGUUUUGCAUGUUCGAAUUGCUACCUGUGGUCUUAUAACUUUGAAGCUCCAUUAUUUCCGUCCAUAAUAUUGGCACUGGGACUAGAGUUAGUUGGAUUUGGAGUUUGAGCAAACUAAAUAUAUUUUAGGCUGCGAGUCACUGAGAUCAUAUUAUCGAGCAUUUUAUAUUUAUUUUCUGAUGGAAAAUGCAUUCUUUACUGCACAAUUUGAUAUAGACCCAAUAAAAUUUCUGAUGAGAAAUGAAUUUUGUUAAUUUUAAGAAUUUUAUAAUUCUUUAAAUUGGUAAAAUAUGUUGAUUUCAACCCAUAUAUUCUAAUAAAUUAUUGAGGUUAUAAGUUCCUUGUAUGAAUUAUAUUCAUAUGUGAGUUUUAUGUUAAUUAGUGUUUCAUGUAUGAUUGAUAGCUCAUGCUUAUUGUACGCAUAGAAAGGACAGAAAGGAGAAAAAAAGAGAAUUAAACAUAAGUAGGUUCUUAGCUACUUUGUCAGCAAAUUAGCCCCUAUUGAAUGGGACUAUACUGAUUUUGCCCCAAAUGAGAACUUAGUGUAAUCUCAUUCGUUUGAUAAUUUUCUAUAAAUAUAUAGGAGGGUUGUUUGACCUUUAAAAUAUAAAAUACUGCCCAAUUUAGCAUAAUUUCAGCUUAUAAUUUGCUGAAAUUAUCUUAAAACACCAUUUAAAGAUUCAGAAAAUUCUCAAAUAUCAUUUUAGAACUAUUUUUCUGGAAUUUCAUAUCAUUUUAGAUAUUUUUUACUUCAAAUGACUUGAGAUACAUGACUAGUAAGAGGGCUUAGACACAUUCUUAAUAUGGGCCAAAUUUAUAACCUUAUUCAGAAUAAAUGUAACUCAACCUUAAAAGGAUUUUUCAUGCGAAUUGACUCUAAAACUUUCGAUAAAUUUUACAUAAGAGUUUUUUAACCUUCAAAUCCAUGGAAUUAGGGGCUAAAUGAUAAAAGACCCAAUUUGGCAAAAUUUCCAUUUUGAAUAUGUCGAAAACAUUGUAAAAUGUAUCUAUGACUAAAAUUUUUUUUCAAAACUCUUAGACCUCAAUUGACAACUAAAUUCCUAGAAUUUUAGUCCAUCUUAGGUAUUUUUUGGCUUCAAAUGAUAGUAGCUUCACUAGUUUUUUUUUUUAAAUGAUGUUACCUUGAUUCUCGGUAGGCACAAUAAUCAGUGUAACUCAACGGUCAAAAAGUUUCUUUUUUUAAUCAAAAUUCCUUCCAAACUUUCUAAAAAUAUAUGAAAGGCUUUUUUGACAUUCAAAUCAAUGAAAUUAUAGGCUAAAUGAUAAAAGAUCCUGUCACAAUUUCAUCUUACAAUAUGCUGACUUCUUCAAAAUAUCAUUUUAAGGUUUAAAAUAAUUCUCAAAACUCUUAAAUCUCAUUUUGGAACCAACUUCCUAAACUUUUAUAUCUUUUUAAGGUAUUUCUUUGCUUCAAAUGACCCAAAUUACGUGGAUUUUAAAAGAGGUUAUUCCGAUUCUUAAGAGGGGCAAAUACCAGUGUGACCUUAUUCAAAAUUAAUGUAGUCCAACCUGUUUAUUUAAUUUUAUUUUUAAAUGAACUAAAUUAUAAUGAUUUUGAAUAUACAUUUAAUAACUUCAAUUAAAGUAAAAUCAAUGAAACUCGAGUUUCUCUUAUCCAGAUUCAUUCUAAAUAUUUUUAUUAAUAUAUAUAAGGGUUUUUUUACCUUGAAAUCCAUUAAAUUAGGGGUUAAAUAAUAAAAGACCCUUAAUUUUGCAUAAUUUCAUCUUUUAAUGUGCUGAAAUCACUGUAAAAUGCAAUCUAUUAUUCAAUUUUUUUUAACUCUUAAAUCUAGAUUCCUAAGGGUUCACACUAUAGGUAUUUUUGGCAUCAAAUGACCUUAGUUAUAUUGGUUUUGAAUUGAGUCACACUUAUUCUCAAUGUAUGCUGAAAUUAUUAUAACCCCAUUAAGAAACAAUUUAAUUCAAUGUUGAGGAGUUUUUUUUUAUCCCAAAUUCAUUCUAAAGCUUUCUAAAAAUGGAUUAUUUGGCCUAAAAAUCUAUGAAAUUUGGGGUUAAAUGAUAAAAUCCACCCAAUGUAGCACAAUUUCAACUAAUUUUGCAUUGAAAUCACCUUAAAAAUUUACAAAAAUCAUUUAAGCUUUUAAUUUAACAGUAAUAUUCUCAUGAUUCCAGUGCAACCGCAUACGCCUCUCCUUAUCCACUGAAUCAUAUACAUGCAAAACAUUCUGCCCUUAUAAUAAAGUCUGAUUGACAUCCUUUUGCAUGUGUAUGGCAAAGGAGUAUAGCAUGGAUUAAUCAAACAGUAAUGUCGAUAGUUGAGGCACCAACAAAGAUUUUGAUGACUUAGGUAAACAAAAUUAAUUUGUUAAAUAUAAAUAAGGAAAAGGAAAUUUUGAGGUUUAAUUACAGCGUUUCAGAAACUUACUACUAGUAUCUUUGUCUCUACUGCUACCUGAUGAAGUCUUGUUAAGAACAUGCUCCAUAACCACUGAGUCAGGUAUUAGAUACUUUUGAUAGACUUCAGAAGAACAAACAAAAGGGAAGAAGAGGAUGAAGGGCACAAUAAAAACAUAGAACAAGAAUCUUCCAAACGCCCGAACCAUGGUCUGCAUUUCUGCCUACCAAAAAUCUUAACAAGUGGUACUUCUGCAUCAUGUUGGACCGCAUUUGUCUUUGUUUGUUUGAGUUUAAUCUUAUGUCUGUUUAUUUUAUUUUUCUGAGACUUGCGUGCUAUAAAUGUGUUCGAUUCAGCAUAGCUCACUGGCUCAUUUCCUUCUAAUUUCUCUUCUUCUUUAUGGUUGUGAUAGAAUCAACUAAUGGUGUUACAGCUUUAGGUUCCUGAUUGAAUUGUGAUCAGCCGAAGCUAUUCUCUUAGCAGCUUAUCCUUUGAGUUGAGCUUUGGGGAUUCAAGAGAUGUAGUAUAGUAAAUUGUAGCUUGAUUUCUAUAAUUACUUGGUGAGAUGAGAUUUCUAUAAUGUAAGAUGAGAUUUAUUGAUGCCAUUUAAUCUUGCAUCAAAUGGAUUACAAAUGUGUAGAAUGUACAGAAUGGUGCUACUCUUUGUUACAUUCUUAACUAUAUAUCUCUGCAUUAAGUUGCACUCAUGUAGCCUUUGUUUCUAAUAAUCCACAGUUAAAAGUUUUGAUGCAA